rnacentral:rRNA from 1 species
UACAGGGGGUGCAAACGUUGCUCGGAAUCAUUGGGCGUAAAGCGCACGUAGGCGGUCUGUUAUGUCGGAUGUGAAAGCCCUUGGCUCAACUAAGGAAGUGCAUCCGAAACUGGCAGGCUGGAGUACUAAAGAGAGUCGCGGAAUUCCCGGUGUAGAGGUGAAAUUCGUAGAUAUCGGGAGGAACACCGGUGGCGAAGGCGGCGACCUGGGUAGAUACUGACGCUGAGGUGCGAAAAGCGUGGGGAGCAAACAGG